rnacentral:misc_RNA from 1 species
UGACCACUCAAGCCUAGCUUGGUAUUGGGGUUCGCGGUCUCGCGGCUCAUAAAAUCAGUGGCGGUGCCGUCUGGGCUCUAAGCGUAGUAAUUUUCUCGCUAUGGAGUCCGGGUGGUUGCUUGCUAAAACCCUCAACUCCUCGC